UACGUAGGGGGCGAGCGUUGUUCGGAAUUAUUGGGCGUAAAGGGUGCGUAGGCGGCGUGAUAAGUGUUUCAGUCAAAACGAGGGCUCAACCUUCGGGAUCGGAAGCAGACUGUCAUGCUAGAGUUUUCCAGGGGCAAGUGGAAUGCCUGGUGUAGCGGUGAAAUGUAUAGAUAUCAGGCGGAACACCGGUGGCGAAGGCGACUUGCUGGGGAGAGACUGACGCUGAGGCACGAAAGCCAGGGGAGCAAACGGG
rnacentral:rRNA from 1 species